rnacentral:rRNA from 1 species
CGGGCCUACGGGAGGCAGCAGUGGGGAAUAUUGCACAAUGGGGGAAACCCUGAUGCAGCGACGCCGCGUGAGCGAAGAAGUAUUUCGGUAUGUAAAGCUCUAUCAGCAGGGAGGAAAAAUGACGGUACCUGAGUAAGAAGCACCGGCUAAAUACGUGCCAGCAGCCGCGGUAAUACGUAUGGUGCAAGCGUUAUCCGGAUUUACUGGGUGUAAAGGGAGCGUAGACGGCUGUGCAAGUCUGAAGUGAAAUGCCGGGGCCCAACCCCGGAACUGCUUUGGAAACUGUACAGCUAGAGUGCAGGAGG